GUUAGCCUGGCCCUUGAGCCUGACUGAUAGAAACUCCGCCAACCCUGGCUUGUUCCUAUGUUCAGGGUCUGGGCAAGCAGGUGUUUUCACGCUCAGGGGCUAGCUCCAUUUGUCUGGCCACUUUUCUGACUACAGUGUUGGGUACUGCACCUUUACAACAAGGCUGUGAGGGCUGAGCACUCAGAGGCAGAGGCAGGAGGAACCCUGAGUUCAAGGCUACCCAGGGCUACAAAACCCAGACCGUGGCUCCUAACAGCACAGAACAGAGAGUAGUGGACUAACUGCCAUGUGCAUAUGUUCUGUAGCCUUUACAGUGGCCUUGAAAGUUGCUAAUCCCCAUUACUGAUGAAGAGAUUGAAGGUCAUGGGACAGAGACUUCAGCUUGGAAGGGCACCUGCUGCCCCAGCCCUCACCUGGGUCCUCAGCAUCCCAGACAGCAGUGCCCUGUGUGGCUCCUGGUGUGAUGUGCACUAGGCCCAGUUGCCGGAAGGACAUGGAGAGAAUGAGCGCAGCCUUGUCUGGGUGUUGGAAAACAGAUGCUAACCUGUAAGCAAUUAAAAAGGAUGUUUUCAGCUAGUGAGGAAGACUUAGACAGCUUUUAAAAAGUAAAAAGCAGGAACAGGACACCAGAGAAGUACCGGCCGCUUCCAGGACUGGGAGUUGAUUCCUGUUAAUGCCAAGAAACUAGGAUCCUCCAUUUCCUUGUUCUCCUUACCACAUUAAUAAAGAAAAAGAAUCACAUGUUUC
rnacentral:lncRNA from 1 species